GACGUAGGUGGCGAACGUUAUCCGGAAUUAUUGGGCGUAAAGGGUGCGUAGGUGGCCUGACAAGUUAUCAGUGGCAAAUCGAGGCUCAACCUCGUGGAAACUGGUAAUACUGUUCGGCUUGAGUACAGGAGAGGUUAACGGAACUCUAUGUGGAGCGGUAAAAUGCACAGAUAUAUAGAAGAACAUCAAUAAAGGCGAAGGCAGUUAACUAUUCUGUUACUGACGCUGAGGCACGAAAGCGUGGGGAGCAAACGGG
rnacentral:rRNA from 1 species